rnacentral:rRNA from 1 species
AACGAACGCUGGCGGCGUGGAUAAGACAUGCAAGUUGAACGCUGAUUAGAGGGUAGCAAUAUUUUUCUAGUCGGAGUAGCGCAAGGGUGCGUAACACGUGGGUAAUCUGCCGUGAAGACUGGAAUAACUCGCUGAAAGGCGAGCUAAUACCGGAUGUGAUUUCUGGAGGGCAUCUUCUGGAAAUCAAAGCUGGGGACCGCAAGGCCUGGCACUUUGCGANGAGCCCGCGGCCUAUCAGCUAGUUGGUGAGGUAACGGCUCACCAAGGCUAAGACGGGUAGCUGGUCUGAGAGGACGACCAGCCACACUGGAACUGAGACACGGUCCAGACCACCGUACGGGUGGCAGCAGUCG